rnacentral:rRNA from 1 species
GUGGGGAAUAUUGCACAAUGGGGGAAACCCUGAUGCAGCGACGCCGCGUGAGCGAAGAAGUAUUUCGGUAUGUAAAGCUCUAUCAGCAGGGAAGAUAAUGACGGUACCUGACUAAGAAGCCCCGGCUAACUACGUGCCAGCAGCCGCGGUAAUACGUAGGGGGCAAGCGUUAUCCGGAUUUACUGGGGGUAAAGGGAGCGUAGACGGCAAGGCAAGUCUGAUGUGAAAACCCAGGGCUUAACCCUGGGACUGCAUUGGAAACUGUCUGGCUCGAGUGCCGGAGAGGUAAGCGGAAUUCCUAGUGUAGCGGUGAAAUGCGUAGAUAUUAGGAGGAACACCAGUGGCGAAGGCGGCUUACUGGACAGUAACUGACGUUGAGGCUCGAAAGCGUGGGGAGCAAACAGGAUUAGAAACCCUUGUAGUCC